AGGCUUGUAGCUCCAGUGGAUAGAGCGCACCCCCUGAUAAGGUGAGGUACGGUGGUUCAAGAUCCACUCAGGCCUACCA
rnacentral:tRNA from 1 species